GCGGCUCGGAGGGGUGCGGGGCCAUGGCUGGCAGCAGGAGGAAUGUGUUCUUGGCGAAAUUACUGAAACGACUCUAUGGUGAAACUUCAUCAUCUUCUCUUGUUUGUACUUCAAGUAGAGAAGAGGCGGUGAUUCUUGAAAAUCUUGGAUCAAAAUCUAAAGAACAGAAUUUGGAUAAUGUUCAGAUUUCAUCAGCAGAUGCUAGCACAUCAACUAGUACACCCUGCAAAUCAUUUCAAGGUAGUGAUGAUACAGUUACGUCUCCAAGAAGAAUUUACACAGUGGAUCUUCCUCCAGAGGGUUAUGUUGCAGUUACUCCAGAUGCUCUUAGUAAUGUAGUUUCUGAAAACUCAGGCAGUAGUGCUGACUCAACAGAAGAGGAAUAUCAAGGGCAAACCAAGAGAAAGCGCAUUCGAAGGAGGAAACAAAAGAGCAGUUUACAAAUCUCUAGUAAUUUACAUGGAGAACAAACAGAUUUGGGAAUGCAAGACACUGUUGUUCAAGAUAAUUUACAGCUGCAGCAAACAGACGGUCCCAGAAUAAGCAAAAAUAAAAAGAGGAAAAUGAAAAAGAAGCGACAGAAAGAAAAAAAGAGAGCAGCUGGCUUAGUAACAAAAACUACUGGUGUGGAUUUUACGUAUCAGCCUGACAAAAACAACAAAGAAGAAGCAGCAGGCUUAAAAGACAUAGAUGAAAAGGCAGAUAGCAUUCUGGACUUCCUGCAGGCAACACAACAAAUCUAUUUUGCCGACAAGAAAUCAGAAUGCAGAGAUGCUGCUGUAAAUUCAGCAACUGCCCAAGAGCUCUUACAACGUCUUGAAUCUCACACCAUCUCUUCCUCAGAUGUGACUCAUCUGCAUCGGCUGAAAUCGCUUGUAUUGCUACAGGAUAUUGAGAGAUUGAAAGAUGCUUUGAAACAAUUCCAAGAGCAAUCUAUGAUGUCUCCUGCAUGAUAGUGGCUAAAGAUCCUCAUCAAGACUGAAGCCUCUUGAAUGCCAUGCGUUGGACAGAGAAAAAAGAGAAUUCCUGCCUAUGGAGUUCAGAGCCGAUACAUUUUGAAAAGGACACUCUUAGAGAAAUCAUGCCAAGGUAGCCGCAUCUCUGUUUCACUACUGGAUUACAGAUAUCUUUCCUGUGAAGAACAGGAAAUAAAGCCUUGCCCCUGUGCCCAUAUGCACAGGAUUAAAAUUUAAUAUACAAACUCUUAAUCAAGUAGCAAUUGUUCAGGAAGAGCAGUGUCAAUACGCAUUCUACACCUUCAGAUGGAAUGAGGGAUGCCCAUGAGGACAUGGAGUAUGACAGUCCAGCUCUUAGUCUCGUCAGCCAUAGAAGCAGCAAAGGACACAACAUGAAGAGUUCUCAGCACAGAUUGUAAUAAAAUUUCUCAUACUAGCUCUCACAGUGAAAAACACCCACUGAGGAUGGCCAGCCAGGAGCACACGUUCAGCCUGGCAUGGGAGCCACUGUCUGGUGGGUGUCUUGAUGUAGACUUUGGGGAGUAGAGCAGAAUGAGAGAACAUGCCUUGCUCCUUAGCAAGCUUGCCCCUCUUUGGUCCUAAACAGAUGGGAAAUUGCAGACUGUUCACAGGAAAGAGCCUAAUGCCUUGUUUCUGUGCAAAAUAGCUGCCAUUGUGUGUCAGUCCUUUAGAGCAACAAAUAAUCUACUGUCAUGGAUUAAUAACAGCUAAAUGGUACACAGUCAGAGGAAUGCAUGUGCUCUUAAGUAAUGAUGUGUCUUGUAACUUACGUAUCCAGAUACAUCUACAGGAGUGCCGUAGGCUUCCCACGUCAGAUCGGCAGUGCCUUGGUAGCUGAAAAAUGGCUUCAUGUAAAGGAUGAUCCCCACCUUCUUCUCAAGCUGUCAGGACUGCAUUGCAUGUCCUUCAGUGCUCUACCUUGCUUACAGAGUGCAUGCCCUGAAUACUGGGACAUGGCAGGACAGGGCAUUGCAGUUGUGAGCAAAAGGAAACUGUUAACAACUGUUUCCAGGGUUGACUGGGACUCUGGACCUCUGCUGGAAGUCUGUCCACUGCCUGCCAGAUAUGAGCCUUACCAGCAUAAUGGCUAUAGAUAAGUCUCUCCAGCAGUAUGCACCCAGAUGACUCUCAGGUCAGUGGCCAAGUGUUCAGCUUCUCUCACAGCGUGUUUUGCUGGUUGACCUCUAAACCCACCACAGAAGCAGCAAGGCAAUAAAUAAAGUUGUUGCUCCAAAAAGACGGUUGUAAUUCUGCUGUGCAUUUUAAACUGGACCAACUCUCCAGGACUGUGUAUUAAGUGAGAUAACAGGGAGGUGCCUGUGAUUCAAUGUCUUGCACAGCAGAGGCAGGCAAGCUUCUCCCUGCCCAUACCUGCUAGAACACUUUUCUGUUGCAGUCUGGCCUACAGAUUCUGCAAAAUUGUACAAUGCAUUAAGAUGGACCCAAACAUUAGAGUAGCCAGUAGUUGGCUUGACUUUUGAAAAGGUGCUAGCUUCCAUUAAGGUCUUCAGACCUUCAAGAUCCCAUAUCUCUCUGUUAAUGCCUACUGUUUCUAUUCCUGGGUUUGGAUUGGGUUGUUUUGAGUUUGGUUUUUUUUUUCAUUUUGGUUUUCAGUUGUGAAAGGAAUAAAUACAUCUAUACUAGUACACAUCUGAGCUAGAGAAAAGAUGACAGCAAGUUUGCUUAUCCAGCUGAUGGCUCGUGGAUCAGUAGCUGUGAGUUCUGUAGGGCAGUGACUGUGCUGGGACACUGGAGAUCGUCUCCCCAAAGAUGCUGUAGUUGUGUAUCAGGUCAGAUAGUAACUGUUUAUGCAAAGCCUUAAAUUCAGUCCUUCUCAUGUGUUGGCUUUUCUAUGGCCACUUAAUGUCACUAGUGUUGCUUUCCCUCUAUGAAGACCUCUACUGAGUGAGGGGAGAUGAAGCAUGGCUAUUGACCACAUCCAGAUGCUGGGGAGUGAGGCAAAAAUCAGUGUUCAAGGAAAUCCUCACUACUUAUCAGUAUCUGAGAGCAAGGGUUUCAUGAUGCUCCUUUUGUGAGGUUAAACACAGCUUCUUGUAAUAUAUGCUUUUAAUUUUCUUUGGUCAUCUUAAAAGCCAUUCUUCAUGACAACUUCAUUUUGAAUUGUCCCAUUGUAUUCAUUGGAGUGCAGUUUGUACCAACUCACUGUACUAUUGUCACUUCUUGCCCUGAUCGUAACAUAAACAUUUGAAAUAGGUAAAUUAGAAGGGGAAUUUAGAGCAACUAGUUCUAAGGCAGGCAUCUGUGUGAGCCUUAUCUGGAGUUAGGUGAGAGAGAUCCAGCCCUACUUGACAGAACUGGGUUCCAAGUAAGCUCUGGAGAAGUAACUUUGUGCUUUGCCAGUGACAGUAAUGCUUACCAACCUUUGCUUAGGAAAUACUUCUGGAUUUCUUCCCCCCUGUAGUUUCUAACACAUACAAAUUGCACUAUUUUUUUGACAAAAUUUGCUUUCAUGAAAGAAUUUCUCCUUUCUCCAUAGCCAUAAUGAACUUGAUUUUUUACUAUUAUUUUGCUAUUACAUUUUUGUCAGUUUCUAUUCUUUUGUCACUCAAUGGUGUCAAAUUACUGUGGGCAGGCAGACUGCAAACACAGGAGUAACUGCUUGGCAGUGGAGCUGUGGGAAGUGCAGGAGUCAAGGAACUCAGCAGGAGAUAAAUGAAUAGUUUAAGCUACUUCAGUGGUAACUCCAUAAGCCUCAGCAACACAAAUCUCUUGAUGCUGUGUAUCUGUAACCUUAGAUGACUUUGAGGACUGAACUCUGCAGUCUGUGCCUUAGCUCAUCUACACAGCAUUGCAGUUUUCUUUUAUUGAUGGCAUUUCCUACUUCUGUCAUCACCAUAUUCCAGUACAUCUCCUUAAUUUUGUGCUUUGCAAAGAUACUACUGUGUAAUGCAACAAUACCACUAGCAUAGUUCCUGUUCCUUGCCUCCCUUGUCAUCUUAAAAUUCAUUUACCACCUUCACAUUUCUUUUUACAUUGUGUUUUGCUGCGAUGCCUACAAAAAUUUGGAAACAGUCUAACUGAGCUUACAGAGAGAACAUUGCCUUGCAUGCCAACCUAUACGUUCUCUUUGUUUCCCUGUGCUCCCUCAACUGGUGGCAACCAUCUGCCUCCCCACAGACUGUAGGUUCUUCGGGGCAGGACUGUCUCUUCCUUUUAUAAGCUGACAGUGCCCAGUGCUGUUACCCCAGCAGAGCUGGUAGUUUAGUUACCGUUGUUGAAGCAAAAUUACUUUUAGCUUAGCUCUAAUUUUUGAGUAAUGCACUUAAUGACUUGAAAGGACAUGCUCUCAGAUCUAAUAACUGUUAAAGUCAAAAAGCCCAGGAUUAGUCAUACAGUUAUGUGUUGAGGAAGAUUUGGUGGGUUUUUUUCUUUAUAUGGUUUAUUUUAUUGAUUUGCCUGCAGUGACAGCACUUCAUGUUUACUCCUAUCCUGCACAAAGGGGCAUACUGGAAGCUGUGGGUAUGUUCAGAAUUCUGUCCCAUAUUCCUUCAGCCUGGACUCUUUAAGGAUGAUGAAUUUUGGAAAGUAGUUCUUUAGUUAAAUAUCUGGAUUGUUUUCAAAUCAUGACUUCCAAAUGUCAUAUUGUUCACCAGGUAUAGAAUGAAAAUGGUAUAUGCCUAAUGGGAAAUCCUCUUUUGAAAUUCUGUCCCUGUAUCAGCGUAGAGAGCCUUGAGUAAAUCAAGCUUAAUGGCCCUCAAAGCCAGCAGAGAGUCUUGCUUUAAACCAGUUUAUUGUUCAGAAAUGUGACUGCACCUAGGCAGUGUCCUGCAGUGUUCUGCCUGCAAUCUGUACCUGUCACGUAGGAGCAAUGACUGUGAGACAUCAGCCCCAACCCCCUGAGCAUGUGGUGGGGCACAAGAAACUGAUGCCCAUCAACAUGCACAUGUGCCACCUGCCUGAGGUGCCUUGGGGCUGCCAAGAGUCUCCUGUCUGCAGGUGUGCAGCUGCCUUCCCCUGGCAGUGAGGUCUGCUCACCCCAGCCACCCAUGGGGGACAGCAUUGUCCCCUCCUUGGUGUCACAUUCUUGCUCUCACGUUGUCAGUCUCAUGACCUUGUCCCAGCAAAGCCAGUAAUGUGACUGUGGUGGGUUCCCUUAGGAAUCAAGUGCAGCAGUAGGAGAACCACGUGCCUUGCCCCCACUCUUCCCACCGUUUUUGGGGCCCAGGCCAUACCCGUGUGCGGGGUGUGGCAGUCGGUGCACGCGGCAGCCCCAGCCAGCACACACAGCUCAGCAAUAUCAGCGUCACCAGCAGGAACCACCACCAGCCAUUCGAGCAGCUCCCAGCGAGGCUGGUGUCCUUUCUGCAGGGGUGACCUGGCUGCACUGGAGGGGAGGCCUGAGGGGGCUGCUCACCUGGGCACCUCCAUGACCUCUUCCUGUGGUUUAACUCAUGCACCUGAGCUUGCCUCACUCCUCCCUUCCUCUGCUGCAGGAUGGCUAAAUUUUUUUUCAGAAAUAGAUGUAAAAAAAAAAAAAAAGCAAUGAGGGGAAAACAAAGCAGAAGUAGAUGUAGGCAAUGAGCUCCUGUGUGCGAGGGAGUUAGGGCCUGCUAGCAUCUAGAGUCUCAAGUGCCAUAGGCCAUUGCAAUUCCAGAUUCCACAAGGGUCUCCAAUGGCAAGAACUGAUGAGCAGAAGAAAGCAGUAUGGGAUCCUCUCCUGAAGAGAAAUUUCUGGUGCUAAAGCUGGGAUAGAGGGAAGUGUUGAUGUAGUGGCCCUUUUGUCGGGAUAAAAAUAAAUAUGCUAGGAUGUAUGUGGGAAAAUGAGAUGGAAAAAUGGGAUGGUAAAUAAGAAUCAUUGUAUGGAACACAGGAAAUAAGAAAAACUGGGAAGUUGAGCCGGAUUUUAAGGUAAAACAUUUUUAGGGAUCUGAAAGAGGAUUCUUAUGAUGGGGGAAUCAUAUAAUCAUUAAAGCUGGGAAAGACCUCUAAGAUCAUAAAGUCCAGCUGUCAAGAGAAGCAGCUGCCUGUGAAAGAGAACCUAACGAAGUCUAGGGCACAUAGAGAAAGUGACAAGUCCAUGAAUGAUUACUGUCUAAAUAUUUGAGGCAUUUGUCUGAAGGUGGUCAACAGCACAGGCUUAAAAAUCUGCCAAAAGAGCAGGGGCCAGAGCCCCGUGCGCUGUGCUUUCCCUGCGCUGAGCUGAUGUGGGUGAUGCUGCCAUGAGAGUCCCUGCUCCACACUCUGGAGAGGCAGGGACAUGAUCACUGGCAGCACAGAAAGCUUUUUGGGGAGUGCCAGUCAAGAAGGGCCUUUUAAGAGUGUGAAAAGAAUUUAUUUCUGUUGGUUGAUUCCUGCUCCUUUUGGAGAAGCAGCCCUUGCUGGUCCCAAAGGCACUGGAUUACAGCAAAGGAACUUGUAACUUCAUUAUUGAUUUCUCUUCCUAAUGGAAAUAGAGCACAAGGUGGUGAAUAUUGACAGCUGAGUUCAAAGUAUCCCUUGUCUUUAAUAUUGGGGAGGAUGUCAGCAUAUCACUUGCGUUCUUAGCUGCUUGAUGCCUCCAUCAAGCAGUGAAGGCAUUAGUUGAUGAAUGAGGUGAGCAGUCUGCACAGCACGUGGGAUCCCUGUGUUUGUGGCAAGAGAGACCUUUGUGGCUUGCUGUCCAGUCCCUAGCCCAGGAGGGGUACAUUCAUCUCUGCGUCCUGGCAGUCAGGACUCAAUUCUCAGAGGCCUGGACUUCAAAAGGAAUGGAGGCAACCCCUUGUUUGAUCAAAGUUCUCCUGAAACAGCCUGGGACAGUUAUUCUUUCAGAGUCCUUGGGCAUGUAAUUCAGGUUUUGGUAGCACCUGCAAUUACAGAAAAUAUUCUACAAUUCAGCUGUGUUGUGCAUGGCCAAGAGAUCCUUUUUAAAGACAGCUGUGUCAGCCAAAGCCUAUUCUUUCCUUCCCCUUUUAUUUUCCACACAAAGAAACAUGUUUGGAAUGCUCUCCCUUUCUGAAUACCAUGUCACUGGAAUCUCACUGCCCUUCUCCAAAUGGAAAGAGUUACACACAGAAUGGCAGAAAUUUUGCAGAUCCUAAAACUCUGAUACUUCAGUAAGGAGGUUUUUCUUUGAAUGUAUGCAAGGCUGGAAAUUUAAAGGAAAAUCUCAGUGCUCUGUGUAUUUACAGAAAAAGGCAGACUCUGCAGCAUUAUCCUUGCCCUGCUCUGGGCAGCAAGCACAGGGCCUCUCCUGAUUGUCUGGGAAAGCCGGCAUGGGGCAUACAGUAAGAAACAAGAAAAAAGCCUCUGACUUUUCAUACUAUAGGUUUUUAUCCCAAAUGCAUUUAGGCAGGUACUGAUAGGCUUACUGUUAACUUCAGUCAGCUCCCAAUUUUAUGUUUAUUGCUUCCUGUUAAUACAGUAUUUCCUAUAGCUAAGGGACACGGCACGAAAGGUUUAGUGUGGGGUCACUGUGAAAAUUGCAUAAUAUAAAAAAAAAAAACCAAGAGAUUGGCAGGUUCCCAGUCUCUCGCUUUUAGUGCUCAGAGAAGCUGUGGAAAUAUUCAAAGCCAGGUAGGAUGGGGCUUGGAGCAACCUGGUCUAGUGGAAGGUGUCCCUGCCUGUGGUAGGAACUAGAUAACCUUCAAAGGUCCUUUCCAACCUGAACUACCUGUGAUGAUUCGAUGGUGAUGAUUUAGAUUGAUGCUAUGGGCUCACUGUAUAGAUAACUCAAGUUAUCUUUUUUUUUAAUGAGACAUGGCUGUGUUGGUGCCAGUGGGGUUGGUGUGCUAAAAUAUGGUGCAGUGAAAGGAAAAUGAAAACUGCCCACUGUGUGCUAUGUAAGCCAGAGCCUCAAAAUAAAACAGAAGCAUUCCUUUGUGGAACAUUAAUUAGUCAUCUGCUGAAAGGCAGAUGAAUUAUGAGAAUCCUUGACAAGUGGUACUAUUGUGGAAUACCUGUGAAAUACCUGUGGAAUUCCUGGAAUUGAGUAUUUCUCCAAGUAGAAUCAUGUUUCUGCUCUUUUACAGCAGGAAUAUUUCUCAGAGGUCUUUAAGCUGCAAUAGCAGAGACUAUAGAGAUGCAAGUCAACACUGAUUUCUGGAACACUUGUCAUGAAAACUGGCGUGGGCCCAAUGUGCACAUUGGUGCUAUCCUGACAUACAACACCUGAAGAUUCUUACCCUGCAUGUUUAGAAGUAGCACUGCAACUGGAGUCAAAUUCUGCCUUGCUACCUAUGUGCAACGUUGCAGAUAUUGAAAAUGGAAAAAAAGAGCUCUCUUAGCAUGGUCUGUCAAUGGACACAAGUGAAAGUUAGAGAAAUUAGUUUUGUAGAUUAUAUUUUACCAUUUCUCACAAAGUGUGCUAUAUGACUGCAGGAAUAGAACUGAAUUCAAGCUCCCUACAGUGAAAAGAGA